GACGAACGCUGGCGGCGUGCUUAACACAUGCAAGUCGAACGGAAAGGCCCUGCUUUUGUGGGGUGCUCGAGUGGCGAACGGGUGAGUAACACGUGAGUAACCUGCCCUUGACUUUGGGAUAACUUCAGGAAACUGGGGCUAAUACCGGAUAGGAGCUCCUGCUGCAUGGUGGGGGUUGGAAAGGUUCGGCGGUUGGGGAUGGACUCGCGGCUUAGCAGCUUGUUGGUGGGGUAGUGGCUUACCAAGGCUUUGACGGGUAGCCGGCCUGAGAGGGUGACCGGCCACAUUGGGCCUGGGAUACGGCCCGGACUCCUACGGGAGGCAGCAGUGGGGAAUAUUGCACAAUGGGCGGAAGCCUGAUGCAGCACCGCCGCGUGCGGGAUGACGGCCUUCGGGUUGUAAACCGCUUUCGCCUGUGACGAAGCGUGAGUGACGGUAAUGGGUAAAGAAGCACCGGCUAACUACGUG
rnacentral:rRNA from 1 species